AUGUACAUUGUUAUAUUCAUGUGUCUUUGGCCUUUACUGGGUGACUCCAUGGCAGAUUCAAUAGAGCCACUUCUCACUUAUAAAGUUGUAGAUGAAGGUGAAAAUGUUACCUUGUCCUGCAGCUACAAAAAGAGCAAGAACUCUAGCAAGAACUCUAUACUGGUACAAUCAGAAAAAAUCAGCACCUGAGUACCUUCUUUUCAUCACUACAAGUGGGAGUUUUAGUCCCUCUGACCCUCGUCUAUCAGCUAAAGUUGAUGAUAAAAAUAAACAAGUGGAUCUGCUCAUCUUCUCUGCUGCUGUAUCAGACUCUGCACUGUAUUACUGUGCUUUGGAGCCCACAGUUGUUCAGAAAGAUGAAGCUCAGGCAGAACUUGAGAUGGCCCUGUUUGUCCUCAGGGAGGAAGAAGACUGUCUUUAG